rnacentral:rRNA from 1 species
AGCUCCAUUAGCGUAUAUUAAAGUUGUUGCAGUUAAAAAGCUCGUAGUUGGAUUUCAGUACGGGCCAGUUGGUCGGCCGCAAGGCCUGUUACUGGCUGGUCUGUUCUUCUUGUCAAAGACUGCGUGUGCUCUUCGUUGAGUGUGCGUAGGAUUUGGGACGUUUACUUUGAAAAAAUUAGAGUGUUCAAGGCAGGCUUUUCAGCUUGAAUACAUGAGCAUGGAAUAAUGGAAUAGGACUUUGGUCCUAUUUUGUUGGUUUCUAGGACCGAAGUAAUGAUUAAGAGGGACAAUUGGGGGCAUCCGUAUUUCGUUGUCAGAGGUGAAAUUCUUGGAUUUACGAAAGACGAACAACUGCGAAAGCACUUGCCAAGAGUGUUUUCAUUAAUCAAGAACGAAAGUA